CCUACGGGAGGCAGCAGUGGGGAAUAUUGGGCAAUGGGCGCAAGCCUGAACCAGCAAAGCCGCGUGAAGGAAGAAGGCUCUAGGGUUGGUAACCUCCUUUUAGAGGGAAGAGCAGAAGACGGUACCUCUUGAAUAAGCCAUGGCUAACUACGUGCCAGCAGCAGAGGUCAUACGGAGGUGGCAAGCGUUGGCCGGAUUUACUGGGUAUAAAGGGCGUGCAGCCGGAAAGACAAGUCAGAUGUGAAAUCCCGCGGCUCAACCGCGGAACUGCAUUUGAAACUGUUUUUCUUGAGUGCCCGAGAGGUAUGCGGAAUUCGUGGUGUAGCGGUGAAAUGCGUAGAUAUAACGAAGAACACCGGUGGCGAAGGCAGCAGACUGGAGGGCAACUGACGGUGAGGCGCGAAAGCGUGGGGAUCGAACAGGAUUAGAUACCCGGGUAGUC
rnacentral:rRNA from 1 species